UACGUAGGGGGCUAGCGUUGUCCGGAAUUACUGGGCGUAAAGGGCGCGUAGGCGGCCCGCUAAGUCGAACGUGAAAUCCCCAGGCUCAACCUGGGAACUGCGUCCGAUACUGGCAGGCUUGAAUCCGGGAGAGGGAUGUGGAAUUCCUGGUGUAGCGGUGAAAUGCGCAGAUAUCAGGAGGAACACCGAUUGCGAAGGCAGCUCGCUGGGACGUUACUGACGCUGAGACGCGAAAGCGUGGGGAGCAAACAGG
rnacentral:rRNA from 1 species